UUGAACGCUGGCGGCAGGCCUAACACAUGCAAGUCGAGCGGUAGCACAGAGAGCUUGCUCUCGGGUGACGAGCGGCGGACGGGUGAGUAAUGUCUGGGAAACUGCCUGAUGGAGGGGGAUAACUACUGGAAACGGUAGCUAAUACCGCAUAACGUCGCAAGACCAAAGUGGGGGACCUUCGGGCCUCAUGCCAUCAGAUGUGCCCAGAUGGGAUUAGCUAGUAGGUGGGGUAAUGGCUCACCUAGGCGACGAUCCCUAGCUGGUCUGAGAGGAUGACCAGCCACACUGGAACUGAGACACGGUCCAGACUCCUACGGGAGGCAGCAGUGGGGAAUAUUGCACAAUGGGCGCAAGCCUGAUGCAGCCAUGCCGCGUGUAUGAAGAAGGCCUUCGGGUUGUAAAGUACUUUCAGCGAGGAGGAAGGCAUUAAGGUUAAUAACCUUAGUGAUUGACGUUACUCGCAGAAGAAGCACCGGCUAACUCCGUGCCAGCAGCCGCGGUAAUACGGAGGGUGCAAGCGUUAAUCGGAAUUACUGGGCGUAAAGCGCACGCAGGCGGUUUGUUAAGUCAGAUGUGAAAUCCCCGGGCUCAACCUGGGAACUGCAUUUGAAACUGGCAAGCUUGAGUCUUGUAGAGGGGGGUAGAAUUCCAGGUGUAGCGGUGAAAUGCGUAGAGAUCUGGAGGAAUACCGGUGGCGAAGGCGGCCCCCUGGAC
rnacentral:rRNA from 1 species